rnacentral:rRNA from 1 species
AGAGUUUGAUCCUGGCUCAGAUUGAACGCUGGCGGCAGGCCUAACACAUGCAAGUCGAACGGUAACAGGAAGCAGCUUGCUGCUUUGCUGACGAGUGGCGGACGGGUGAGUAAUGUCUGGGAAACUGCCCGAUGGAGGGGGAUAACUACUGGAAACGGUAGCUAAUACCGCAUAAUGUCGCAAGACCAAAGAGGGGGACCUUCGGGCCUCUUGCCAUCGGAUGUGCCCAGAUGGGAUUAGCUUGUUGGUGAGGUAACGGCUCACCAAGGCGACGAUCCCUAGCUGGUCUGAGAGGAUGACCAGCCACACUGGAACUGAGACACGGUCCAGACUCCUACGGGAGGCAGCAGUGGGGAAUAUUGCACAAUGGGCGCAAGCCUGAUGCAGCCAUGCCGCGUGUAUGAAGAAGGCCUUAGGGUUGUAAAGUACUUUCAGUUGGGAGGAAGGCGUUGAUGCUAAUACGUAUCAACUGUGACGUUACUCGCAGAAGAAGCACCGGCUAACUCCGUGCCAGCAGCCGCGGUAAUUC